GGAAGGGGGAUUCGCAGAGCCCAGCCUUAGAGAGACACUGGCGGAGCCUCUUCAGCAAUAGCCACCCCCUUGCUCGGAGCCGAGCCAGCCCCCCGGACUGCAGUGCCGGCUCCCCUCCCCACGGCCUGCUAGGGAGAGGGGGGAGAGUCCGCUCUGCAGCCCCUGGGCUUGUCUGGCAGCAGCAUCCUCCGGCUCUGGCUGCAUCGGUGCCGUCAAUUCCCUCCUGCUCCGGCGUCUCUGCCUCGCCGGGAUGCAGCCAGCGUUAGCCUGAGGGAGUGGCAGGCUGUAUUCCUGAGGGCUGCAGCCUCCGGCUAGGGCUGGGGGGGGGGGCAAGAGGGGCUUGCAAGCAGCCGGGAGGGCUCCCCCACAGCCCCCCUGCAAGCUGGAUGCUAAGGAAGAAGGUCUGUGACGAUGGAAGAAGGGGUCCGUCAUCUAGAAGCCUGACUGGGUGGCAGUAGGAAAACCCUCCGAGAGACGGGCAGCUACUAGCUUGAGAUACAGAGCGAGACAAACAUGCUGAAACCAAGUGGACUUAAAAUUCCCGGCAAGGCUGGGAAACACUCCAGCCCCGUGGGACGGGCUUCGGGGACAGCUGCGGCUGCAGCCACUACUGGCUCAAAGGAAGGCUCACCUUUGCACAAGCAGGGUCCCACCUCCACUGCCAGUGCCGAGAAGCCAGGAUCAAAGGUCACUGAGGUGGGCGAUGACUUCCUGGGAGACUUCGUGGUGGGCGAACGUGUCUGGGUGAACGGAGUGAAGCCAGGUGUGAUCCAGUACCUUGGGGAGACCCAGUUUGCCCCCGGCCAGUGGGCAGGGGUUGUUCUGGAUGACCCGGUGGGUAAGAAUGACGGCUCCGUUGGUGGCGUACGUUACUUUGAGUGCCAGCCGCUGCAGGGGAUUUUUACACGGCCCUCCAAGCUGACCCGCCAGCCCGUGGCGGAGGGCUCGGGCAGCGAUGCCCAUUCUGUGGAGUCCCUGACAACUCAGAACUUGUCGUUGCACUCAGGGACGGCGACACCGCCUCUCUCCACUCGCAUCAUCCCCCUGAGGGAGAGUGUCCUGAACAGCACCAUGAAAACCGGAAAUGAAUCUGGAUCUAACCUGUCAGACAGCGGGUCGGUGAAAAAGGGCGAUAAAGACUUACGGCUUGGAGACCGCGUCCUGGUUGGCGGGACGAAAACGGGAGUUGUGCGCUAUGUGGGCGAGACAGAUUUUGCCAAAGGAGAAUGGUGUGGAGUGGAACUUGAUGAACCUCUAGGGAAGAAUGACGGGGCAGUCGCUGGUACAAGGUAUUUUCAGUGCCCCCCCAAAUUUGGCCUCUUCGCUCCCAUUCACAAGGUGAUCCGGAUUGGGUUCCCGUCCACCAGCCCUGCUAAAGCAAAGAAGAGCAAACGGAUGGCCAUGGGAGUGUCAGCCUUAACUCACAGCCCCAGUAGCUCGUCCAUCAGCUCUGUCAGCUCCGUGGCCUCCUCUGUCGGUGGCAGACCCAGCCGGAGCGGAUUGCUGACGGAAACCUCCUCUCGCUAUGCCCGGAAGAUCUCCGGCACGACCGCCCUGCAGGAGGCACUGAAGGAAAAGCAGCAGCACAUUGAGCAGCUGCUGGCAGAGCGAGAUCUGGAGAGAGCGGAAGUUGCCAAGGCCACCAGCCACAUCUGUGAGGUGGAAAAGGAAAUUGCCAUCCUGAAGGCCCAGCAUGAGCAGUAUGUCACGGAGGCGGAGGCGAAUCUCCAGCGAGCUCGGACCCUGGUAGAUGGGGUGCAGAAGGAAAAGUUGGAGCUGCUGAACCAACUGGAAGAGGAGAAAAGGAAAGUGGAGGACUUGCAGUUCCGAGUGGAGGAAGAAUCCAUUACCAAGGGAGAUCUGGAGACUCAGACGCAGUUGGAGCAUGCCCGCAUACGGGAGCUCGAGCAGAGCCUGCUGUUUGAGAAGGCACAGGCUGAAAAACUCCUCAGAGAAUUAGAGGACACCAGGUUAACUACGGUAGCAGAGAAGUCUAGAAUCCUUCAGCUGGAGGAAGAGCUGAGUGUCCAGCGCAGUGAGGUGGAGGAGCUUAGACAAUGCCUAAGAAACUCUCACCAGGCAGAGACCCCUGAGCAUAAUCUUGGUCUGCAGUCAGAGGCGCUUCGCCUGCGAGACCAGCUGCUGUCUGCCAGCAAGGAGCACCAGAAAGAGAGCAGCCAGCUGAAGGAGAAGUAUGAAAAGACCCUGAAGAAGCACCAGCAGGAGAUAGAGAAGCUGAAAGCCGUCAAUGAAAAAUAUUCCCAGGAAAUCGUUGACCUGAAACACAAAGUUCAACAAGCCACCAAUGAGAACAUGGGGCUGAUGGACAAUUGGAAGUCCAAGCUGGAUACCUUGGCAUCUGACCAUCAGAAAUCUCUGGAAGACCUCAAAGCCACCCUGAACACAGGCCCUGACACCCAACACAAGGAGAUAGUAGAACUGAAGGCCGUGGUAGAGAGCAUAAAGAUGGAGCACCAACUUGAACUGGAGAACCUUAAAGCUAAGCACGAUAUCGAGACUGCGGUUCACAUAAAAGAGAAAGAAAGUCUGAAGCUGAAGCUACAGGAAGCCAGCGACGAAGUGGAAGAAAGCAACAACAACUGGAAAAUGCAACUGGAAACCAAAACAAACCAGCACCUUACAGAACUUCAGGACAUGAAGGAGAAGUGCCGAGAUGCCGAACUGAGAGUGCAUGAACUGGAGAAGCUUCACAGUGAAUAUAAAGAUCAGGCUCAAGCAAUAGCUUUCUUGAAAGAGCAGAUUUCUCUGGCUGAGAAGAAGAUGUUGGACUAUGAGACACUACAGAAAACAGAAGCCCAGAGUAAACAGGAGAUCCAAAGAUUGCAGGAAAAAGUGCUUGUCUUAGAGAACAAACUGCAGUCCAUGGAGGCUCUGCAUCCUUCUCAGCAUGCCAAUAUGAUUGAAACUAAUGAUAUUUCAGAAGAGAAGAUGAAGAUGAAGGAGGCUAUGGAAGAACUGCAAGAUAAGAUGAGUAAAAGAGAUAAAGAGGUGUCGUCCCUCCUCUCCCAGACUGAAACUCUAAGGGCCCAAGUAAGUGCAUUGGAAAAUAAAUGCAAAGCUGGAGAGAAGAAGGGAGAUUCUCUGUUGAAGGAAAAGAAGCGGUUGGAAGCUGAACUGGAGACCUUGUCCAGGAAAACGCAUGAUGCUUCAGGCCAGCUGGUCCUGAUUAGCCAGGAGCUACUCAAAAAGGAAAGGAGCCUGAAUGAGCUGCGAGCUUUGCUGCUGGAAGCAACCCGUCACUCGCCCGGGCCAGAGCGGGACCUGAGCCGAGAGGUGCACAAAGCAGAGUGGAGGCUGAAAGAGCAGAAACUCAAAGACGACAUCAAAGGCCUGAGAGAAAAGCUGAUAGUGCUGGAUAAAGAGAAAUCGGUAACGGAUCAAAGGCGAUACUCCCUCAUUGACCCUUCGUCAGAGUCUGAGGUUCUCCGGCUGCAGCACCGACUGGUCAGCACGGAGGAUGUCCUACGGAAUGCACUGGAGCAGGGUCAGCAAAUGGAGAAACUCCUGGAGGCCAUGAGGAGUUCUUCGGAGAAAACACAGGUGAGAUCUAAAACCAACUGCAUGACUGUGUGUGGAUCAUUAAAGAUCCUCUGGCACCCGUCACAAGAACUGGAUGUUAGUCCCAGUAUCCUGCAUCAAAUUCCAGUGUGGGUAAUUACAGUCGACCUAUUUAAAUGACUCUUGGAAACUCGGGAUCUGCUAAUGGGAUCCAUCAACAGGAUAAAUCCCACAAGCAGGAGGAGAAGCACUGAUAGAGAAGAAGAGGUGGAGAGAAUCAUUUCAUGCCAGUAUCUACUUCUGCGCACCAACAGGAAAAGGAUGCACCUCCUAAAGACUAGCGACAGUAUUUUAACUUUAAAAACAGGACUGUUUAUAAUGUACUAACCGACCUAAGUAGGACAAUCCCCUGGUUCGUAUUUUCCAAGACGAGCAUCAUUCCAGAAGGAGCGGUAUGGAAACCUACCUGUGUAAAGAACCUUUUGUUUUGCUUUCUUAUCCGUAUCGGUUUUGACUGUGGAAUUUGUAUCGGCCGAGUGGACAGUCUCCAUUCAUCCCACCUGAACAAUGUGGUCUGGUUGAGAGCUGAUGGUGGCUGAAACUUCAUCAGUGAUUCCUAGACCCCUAGAGGAAAUGCAAAGAGGUUUGCUUGGGGCAUUAGAAAAUUCCUAAGUAUGUUCCCAAAGGCUGCACUCUCCACGCCAGGUAAUCCCUGUCCCUCUCCCCCCACCCACCCACUCACAUAGUAUGAUGAACUACAGAAAUGAGUCAGACCUACUAGGCUGGCUGUGCUCAAGCCAGUAAGAAUGGAUCGUAGAAGAGCUGUUGGGACAGUCCUCCCCCUUCCCUGCACAGAAGACCUCUCAGGUGUAGACCAUGGAAACUCCCCUUAAAACUGUAUGAUAGCACAGGUGGUACCUCAUCUGAUUUCAGAUGAUAUAAUUUAUUUCAGCUGUUUGUGAAUCAGUGUUUACUCUGAGUUGAUGAAGGGGAGGGAGCCUCUGGUGGGGGUGAGUACAGGUCUCCUUAGCCUCUCUCCUCUGAGAGAUCUCUUAGCAGGACCAGCUGUGCCGGGGCCCAGAGCCAGGGCCCAUGGGUGUGUUGUGGCAUAUGGUAGCUCUGCAGGCCCGUACACAGCAAAGCUUUGGAGGCAGCUGGCUAGAACCUUUGUAUGCCUGUUUGUGAGGGUCUGGAUAGAAAACCCACACACAGGAUGUAGUCGCAUCGGACAGAGGCUGCUAGGCUCUGAUUCCCUCUCCACUGCUAUCCACAGAAUUGUAAUCACUAGCUGGAAGAGUUGGGCUACCUUGCAUUAGGCUGCUUGGGGGCUGCACCUACCAGUCUCAGUUGUCUUUCGCUCUUCAGUACAGUAUCUGGCGGGAGAGGGCUAACAUGUUGCUGUGAGGCAGAGACUGAGGAUGAUAGUUAAACAAAGGCCCCGUCUAGAGCAGGAGAGCUCCAGCUGUAACCAGAGCAGAUUUCUGUUCUUUCCUCUAUUUGCUGGGCACCUCAGACUCCCCCUAUUUGCUGUAAGUGGGAGUUCAGGGGUGCAGGUUUGGGCCCCAAAACAACACUGAGGGUCACGUUUUUAAAGCAGGAGCUCCAAGCCAUGUGCACAGAAAUCCAGGCACAACGGAGCACCCAGAUUUGCACAAAGAACUGUUGCCAUUGUGAAUGCAGAGAGCCAGUUGGGCACCUCUGUAUCCAUCUGCAAUAACUGUCCAUGCAGGAGGGGGAACCCCAUUGCCUGUGUGAACCGGUAUUUUCAAAAGUGUCCAGCAUUGGCUGCCUGACUCUGCUCCUGCUGAAAUUAAUGGUCAGAUGCCCACUGACAUCAAUGGGAGCGUUCGGGGCAAUGCCACGGGCUUCGGAAAAUGCCUUCCAGGGCUUAGGGAAGGCAGCACCCAGGUGAGUGCACAGGAGUUCAUGGGACUUACCAAGUGGGAAGGGGGGGGUCGAUUUUGUAAUCAAUCUAUAUUUAUUUUCUGUCUAGUUUACAAGUGACAAGCCCCCGUUAUUUAAAGAGGAUUAAAUAGCAACUUUCUGCGUCGCUUUGCGACCCUCCUGCUUCCCCGGGUUCAAACAGGAGCUGGGAGGUGUGCUCCAUGGGCUGGGCUGAAUGGGCCAGAGCUCUGAAGCGAGUGGCACCGCCCUGAUUGAAACCAGAGGAGAAUUUGACCUAUCAAGAUGUCCCAGGCCAGUGCACCUGAGCCCAUUCAGUGACAGGGAGAAGGUAGAAGAGAGCCUGCUUUGUAAGCUGGCUUCGACUGUCUUCUCAGGAUCUAAUGCUCGCUAGGAUGUAACUGAGGGCAUAGUCCUUAAGGGGAGAGUAGCCUUCCAAGGAAAGGCCUGGAUGGCCUUACCACAGCAAUGGGCUGCAUUGAAUCACACGCUGUCCCGCAGGCUCUGAGUUUGCCCUUUUGGAAAGAGAUCUCUGCACCGAGAGCAACAGCGAGGGGCGAACCCGUUCUGGGACCCACCAGAGCAGCCCCAGGCUCUGCCCCUGUGCACCCAGCCAUAGAGGCUCAGCGCCCCAUUUCCAGCUCACCCUGCAGGCGGGAGAGUUACAACCGAAACAGAUGCCCCUGCUCAGGAGAGCCCAGCCAGGAGCUGCAUGACUCAGGAAUGCAGAUCGCACAGGGUGUGUUUGCACCCUGUGCCGCAGGGCCAGCACGAGGCCUGUGUUCCGCUGAAGUCCUGCAGAAGUGAAACAGGCACCAGAGACAGCGGUGAGGGAUUUCCCUAGUGCACACGGCUCAUGCCGGCCCUCUGCUCUGGUGCCAGCUGCACCCAUAGAUUUUUAGGAGACCAAAUUAGAACGAAACACAGAAAGUGACAAGUCAGAGGGUCCCCUUCCACCACAUUUAUUUAUAAGCAUCUCAUGACUUUUGCCCAGCUACAGUGGUACAUAAAGUACUCUGCAACAUUCUGUGUAACCGGCAUCAUCAGUAUUUUUUUAUUUUUAUUUUUUUUUGCAGGGGAGGUGGGGGGGGGUCAUCAAAGGGAAGUUAUGCAGCCAACUCCCAUUGGCAGUCAGUAGCUCCCAUUUGAAAAUCUCUCCUGUCAAUGUUAAUCCCAGAGCUCUUGUUCAGAGCUUCAAAUCUGAAGUAAGAUAGGGGGCUGCUUUCUCCUCCGUGACCCCCACCAUUGUCUCCGUUGGGUGUUCUGUGCUGGUGUCACAUCCAGGGCUGUGUGCAGAAUAUGCCUCUGGGAUCAAGAACUGCAGUGUGGGUGAGAGGGGAGAACUUUUCCUCUCCAGUCAAGGGGUCUUGCGUGAGAGCUAGUUACCUGGAAAAACAGUGCUGAGCUGUCUGGUCCACCCAUGCACCCUUCCCAUUCAAAGAGGGACUGUGGAAAACUGGACUUUCUGUCCAUUGUAUUAGUUCAGUGGCUGGAAGAGUUUUUUGUUUUGUUUUCCCACUGAAGGCUGAAAAAUCAUCUGAAGAAUAAAGUCUCCAUGCCAGCUGGAGAGGCUCUUGAAGGUCCAGAUUAGCAACCUUUUCCCCUCAUCCUAGCUAAAGAGAAAUCCUACAAGCAUUUGGAGGGCAGUACUGGCUUUAUCCUUUUCAGAGUUCAGAAAAGUGAAGCGGACACACAGUCCCAUGCUAACACCCUUACCCAGUCAUGGGUCCAAAAUUUAUAGUCAAGACAUACCAGCUACUGCCCCAUCCCCUUCUCUGAUCAGUUCCUUUGACUUUCAGUGGAUAUGCAUGAUGGUUUCAUGAAAACAAACAAAAAGCUGCAAUGAAACCUUCACAAGAUUCCAAUACCCCGCUGUUACAGCAGCUUUUAGCGGUUCACCACUAUCUUGUAGGGAAUUAUUAAUCCACUAACAUCUAUAGGCCUCCAUGCAAGUUACCAGAAUAAAGGCGAUAGUAGAUGUAUAAAUGGACAAUAACAUUUUACCCGUACAGUAUGUAUUACAAUUUUGUAGCUUAGUCAUUUUUUUGGCUAUCGAAUUUUGUGAGUAAGAUAAAAAAAAAUGGUUUGACUGCUAAUGUUUAUUUUGUUAUUUGAUUCUUUUCCCUCCCCUUCCUAUGUACAAACGCUGUACAAAUCUGAGUCCAUUGAGUGUAACUACAACCGAUGUCUAUUAAUGUACCACAGACCCCAGUAGUGGCUUGCUGAAGUGUGGUGAGCUGAUACUAAACAAUAAAACUUGUGGCUGAAGUCAGGCCCGCCCGCCUCUUCCAUCCCAGAGAGCGCAGGCCCGGGUGGUGCACGCCUGCGGGCGAACUGGGGGUCGGAAUGUUAAAAGGAUGCUU